GCGUGGGGGGGGCGCCUUUACGCGGCCCAGGCUGCGUUCCCUCACCUUCUGGAGCUUCCGGAGGCUUGGCAUGCAUACACACAUACGCACACACACACUCCCCUCAUUGGCGCGGGAGACCCCUCUCCGAGGCUUUGGGGAGCUCCGGGGGCGUCCGGAACAGGGUGACCUAAUCCCCCCACCCGGGAGCGAAUGGUUCUGGCCGCCCCGCCCCGCCUUACCGCUCGCGGGUUGCUGUUUGAUGCGCGCGCGGAGCAAACAUCGCUAGGGCUUGGCUUCCCGGGUUGAGUCUGCCCGCGCGGUCCCCCAGGCGGGGGCCGGGGGCGGCCUGAGCUGCCGGGGGUCGCGUGCUCCUGGGGUUCAGAGCUGCAGAUCUCGGAUGAACCGCGCGCCACAGGUGCCCAAGCGUCCCCGCAAAGGAGUCCAGGCCUGGGGGAAGGGGGCGCUGUGGGUUGCGGCCGACGUCAGCCAGCCAAGAUGCUCAGCUUUGUAGGUGGGACUUACACUUGUGACUUCAUCUUUUGAAGCCUCAGUUUUGUCAUCUGUAGAAUGGACAUAAUGGAAGCUACCUCACAGGACUGCUGAGAAGAUUAAAUGAGACAAUGCUUGUAGAGCUCUUUGCAGGAGUCCUGCAGGCACCCAGCCCACACCACCAGUCUUUGACCCACCCUGGAUGAGGAAGGCCAGCAGAACCAGAGGAGUGGGUACAGGGGCGUCACAGGCCUCAGGGGCCAACGGGAGCUGUGAGACUACCUCCUCCAGGGACAAGACCCUGACCCUCGCACCAAGGAAGAAGAACAAAUACAGUUCUGGAGGCUUGAAGUCCAAGGUCAAGACGCCAGCAGGGUUGGUUUCUCCUGAAGCCUACCUAUCCUUGGGUUGCAGAUGGCCACCUAUUCACUGGGUCCUCCCAUGGGCUUUUCUCUGUGAGCGUGUACACUCCUGGUGCCUCUUCCUCUUCUUAUAAGGACACAAAUACUAUUGGAUUAGGGCCUCACCUUUAUGGCCUCAUUUAACCUUAAUUACCUCUUUAAAAUUCAGCAUGAAUUUUGGGAGGAUGCAAUUCAGUCCAUAAUAACUAGCCAAUCAUAUUUAGGAUCCAUUCUGAGCCAAGAGGCACAUAUAUUAGUUGAGAAUGGGAAUAGUGUUUAUUUAAGGAGAUAAAAUUCAACAGAGAUAAAAGCAAGUCCCCAUUAUUAUCAUGUCCACCUGACAAUUGCCGUGGACCACAAGGCAGGCUCAGGUUGACAUUAGCAGCACUGACAGCUACAACAUGGCUGAAAAUGCUGGUGUCAGCGUAAGCUGCAUUAACAGAAGUAUGGUGUCCAAAACAAGGGAGAUAACAGUCAACCCUAUGCUCUCCUGGAGGAUGGAAUUUUAUGCUGGAUGCUGACAAGCAGAGGAUGUCAAGUUAGAAGGUACAUAAGAGUUAGAGACGCUAUUGAGCAGCAACUUUGGUACCAGACAGACAUAGGUAUCAACCAGGUAUGGUUUUGAACAGCUAAAUCAAGCGGCAAAAGGUUGACAUUUCAAAGACUUGCAGUUUGGGAAUGGAAGCACUUUUAGUCCUGGCCAAAAACCAUGGACCUGACACCUCAUAGGUAUGCCAUGAAUAUUUGUGGGACUAAUAAAAAAAAAUUGCUGAAUGAAUCUAGUUAAAGGUGAGAGGCCUAGAAGGCACUUAAGUCUGACUGAGUGAUCAAGAGCUUGGGUCCUUGAGCAGGGGGCUGGAUUUGAAUCUUGUGUGUACCCUCCUUUUUACCCUCCCUAUGCCUCAGUUUUCUUGUCUGUAAAAUGAGAUUAUAUCGCCCUCCUGUGGGUGUUGUGAGAAAUGAGAUGACACACAAGUGACAUGCUGAGUCCUGGACCUACACAUGAAAAGCCCUGAGUAAAUAUGCAAAAAUUUUAAAAGCUGCUCUGGUGAUGAGGCCAGAUCACAGAGGUUCAAACUGAGAACCCUCUACAUGCCAGGUGCUAGGCUGUGCAAUUUCAAAUAUAUAGUUGGAAGGGCCGCAUGACUGGAGAGGGUUCGGCUGACAAGGCCGCUACAAAAAGGGAAAAGUGGUGGGUUAAGAGAAAAAGUGAAGGCUAUAAAGACUAAGGUUGUAUUAAUCAGGACUCUUGGUUGCAAGUGACAGAAGACUUACCCAAACUGGCUUCAGCAGAAAAAGGGCAUUUGGGGCUCAUAUAACAGGGACUCAAAACGUUCUUGGGAUUUUGUCUCUGUUUUCGUGCAGCUUUCCCCUGCACAUCCCAGGUGAGAUAGCCACCAGCCAUUUAGCCCUUGUAUCCUGCCAGUUCUUCAGGGCUAGGUGGAAGAAAAACAUUUCUCUCCUAGUAGUUUCUGCAAAGGUCCUAAGGCAGACCCUUAUUGUGCAGAAUGGGUCAUGUGGUUAUUCCUGAGCCAAUCAGCGUGGUCAGGAGGAUGGGAUAUGCAAACUGGCCUGGCCUGGGGCACA